AGAUGGCUGGAUGGCCGCUGGCGGGUUCGCCCCGUCAGAGGAAAGUCCGGGCUCCACGGAACCACGGUGCCGGGUAACCCCCGGCGAGGGUGACCUCAGGGAAAGUGCCACAGAAAAAAUACCGCCAUGGUGAUCAUGGCAAGGGUGAAAAGGUGCGGUAAGAGCGCACCGCGGUUCUGGUAACAGAACUGGCAGGGUAAACCCCACCGGGAGCAAGACCAUGUAGGAACGCAAAAGGGGGCUUCGGCCUCCAGCGGGGCGGUUUCGUCCGUGCGUUCGGGUAGGUUGCUAGCGUUGGCUGGUAACAGCCAUCCCAGAUGAAUGGCCAUCCAUCGUCAGGCUGACGCCAUGGCGAGGACAGAACCCGGCUUACAGGCCAUCUGA
rnacentral:RNase_P_RNA from 1 species